rnacentral:rRNA from 1 species
UCAGCUCGUGUCGUGAGAUGUUGGGUUAAGUCCCGCAACGAGCGCAACCCCUAUCGUCAGUUACCAGCGGUUCGGCCGGGGACUCUGACGAAACUGCCGCCGACAAGGUGGAGGAAGGUGGGGAUGACGUCAAGUCAGCAUGGCCCUUACGUCCGGGGCUACACGCGUACUACAAUGGCUGGUACAAUGGGGUGCAAUACCGCAAGGUGGAGCGAAUCCUCAAAACCAGCCCUAGUUCAGAUUGGGGUCUGCAACUCGACCCCAUGAAGGCGGAAUCGCUAGUAAUCGUAGAUCAGCACGCUACGGUGAAUACGUUCCCGGGCCUUGUACACACCGCCCGUCACAUGACCCGAGUCGUCUGCACCCGAAGCCGGUCACCCAACUCGCAAGAGGGGGAGCUGUCCACGGUGUGGAGGGUGAGGGGGAUGAAGUCGUAACAAGGUAGCCGUUGCGGAAGCAGCGGCUGGAUCACCUCCUUU